UCGCACUCCAAUUUCCUGCCACUGCCUGUGCCUUAGUUUCGGGCAGCCUGGGAUUUAUGUUACUGAAUGAGGAUCUGAUGAAAAGGUUUUGGCGGCUAGGGCUUUGGACGGGCCUAGAAGGGAGUGAACGGGAGGGAAAGAAGAGAUCCUUUCGAGGAUGGAUACAGCUCAUGGGGGUAAAACUCUGAGUGGCCGCCGCCAUGAGCAACACCGGUGGAUCCGCGGCGAGGAUUGGGAUGUACGGCGAUGAGCGCCGGGGAUGGGUCGCCGGAGCUGAGCUAGGGUUUAACAAGGGAGAGGAGGGGGGAGCUGGGGUCGAUGGAUGGGAACGGACGUGGAUCGGUCG
rnacentral:misc_RNA from 1 species